UCUUCUAGCUUGCUAGAAGUGGAUUAGUGGCGCACGGGUGAGUAAUGCAUAGGUUAUGUGCCCUUUAGUCUGGGAUAGCCACUGGAAACGGUGAUUAAUACUGGAUACUCCCUACGGGGGAAAGUUUUUCGCUAAAGGAUCAGCCUAUGUCCUAUCAGCUUGUUGGUGAGGUAAUGGCUCACCAAGGCUAUGACGGGUAUCCGGCCUGAGAGGGUGAUCGGACACACUGGAACUGAGACACGGUCCAGACUCCUACGGGAGGCAGCAGUAGGGAAUAUUGCUCAAUGGGGGAAACCCUGAAGCAGCAACGCCGCGUGGAGGAUGAAGGUUUUAGGAUUGUAAACUCCUUUUGUUAGAGAAGAUUAUGACGGUAUCUAACGAAUAAGCACCGGCUAACGCCGUGCCAGCAGCCGCGGUAAUACGGAGGGUGCAAGCGUUACUCGGAAUCACUGGGCGUAAAGAGUGCGUAGGCGGGGUAAUAAGUCAGAUGUGAAAUCCUGUAGCUUAACUACAGAACUGCAUUUGAAACUGUUACUCUGGAGUGUGGGAGAGGUAGGUGGAAUUCUUGGUGUAGGGGUAAAAUCCGUAGAGAUCAAGAGGAAUACUCAUUGCGAAGGCGACCUGCUGGAACAUUACUGACGCUGAUGCACGAAAGCGUGGGGAGCAAACAGGAUUAGAUACCCUGGUAGUCCACGCCCUAAACGAUGGAUGCUAGUUGUUGCCUUGCUUGUCAGGGCAGUAAUGCAGCUAACGCAUUAAGCAUCCCGCCUGGGGAGUACGGUCGCAAGAUUAAAACUCAAAGGAAUAGACGGGGACCCGCACAAGCGGUGGAGCAUGUGGUUUA
rnacentral:rRNA from 1 species